GUUAGCUGUUCUUAAUGCUUUUCCAACAUCAUGUAUUCUGUUUAUAAGUUAAAAGGCAGUGGGAACAUAUAAUCUAGAGCUUAAAGUUAAAAUGCUGAUUGUAUGCAAACUCUCAUCAAGUGUUAAAGCACGCGUAGGAGUGUUUUAUCAGAUAUAAAACGACUCAUCUUAUACGAGUUCAUUGGCGAAGUAAUUUUUAAAAUAAACUUUGUCCAAACCGAGAAAAUCAAAGCUAAAGUUUAUGUAAAUUAACAUGAUUUGUUAUUACAUAUAAAACCACGACACGCUUAUGAUUUUUCUUUCUGUUUUCC